rnacentral:misc_RNA from 1 species
GAUGAAGAACAUAGCAAAAUGCGAUAAGUAAUGUGAAUUGCAGAAUUCAGUGAAUCAUCGAAUCUUUGAACGCACAUUGCGCCCGCCAGUAUUCUGGCGGGCAUGCCUGUUCGAGCGUCAUUUCAACCCUCAAGCACAGCUUGGUGUUGGGACUCGCGUUAAUUCGCGUUCCCCAAAUUGAUUGGCGGUCACGUCGAGCUUCCAUAGCGUAGUAGUAAAACCCUCGUUACUGGUAAUCGUCGCGGCCACGCCGUUAAACCCCAACUUCUGAAUGUUGACCUCGGAUCAGGUAGGAAUACCCGCUGAACUUAAGCAUAUCAUAAGCGGAGGA